UCCCUCGUGACUCACGUGGUAAAGAACCUGCCUGCAAUGCAGGAGACCCAGGUUCAAUCCCUGGAUUGGGAA
rnacentral:tRNA from 1 species